rnacentral:rRNA from 1 species
GAAGGUGUGCUGUGAGGCAUGCUGGAGGUAUCAGAAGUGCGAAUGCUGACAUAAGUAACGAUAAAGCGGGUGAAAAGCCCGCUCGCCGGAAGACCAAGGGUUCCUGUCCAACGUUAAUCGGGGCAGGGUGAGUCGACCCCUAAGGCGAGGCCGAAAGGCGUAGUCGAUGGGAAACAGGUUAAUAUUCCUGUACUUGGUGUUACUGCGAAGGGGGGACGGAGAAGGCUAUGUUGGCCGGGCGACGGUUGUCCCGGUUUAAGCGUGUAGGCUGGUUUUCCAGGCAAAUCCGGAAAAUCAAGGCUGAGGCGUGAUGACGAGGCACUACGGUGCUGAAGCAACAAAUGCCCUGCUUCCAGGAAAAGCCUCUAAGCAUCAGGUAACAUCAAAUCGUACCCCAAACCGACACAGGUGGUCAGGUAGAGAAUACCAAGGCGCUUGAGAGAACUCGGGUGAAGGAACUAGGCAAAAUGGUGCCGUAACUUCGGGAGAAGGCACGCUGAUAUGUAGGUGAAGCGACUUGCUCGUGGAGCUGAAAUCAGUCGAAGAUACCAGCUGGCUGCAACUGUUUAUUAAAAACACAGCACUGUGCAAACACGAAAGUGGACGUAUACGGUGUGACGCCUGCCCGGUGCCGGAAGGUUAAUUGAUGGGGUCAGCGCAAGCGAAGCUCUUGAUCGAAGCCCCGGUAAACGGCGGCCGUAACUAUAACGGUCCUAAGGUAGCGAAAUUCCUUGUCGGGUAAGUUCCGACCUGCACGAAUGGCGUAAUGAUGGCCAGGCUGUCUCCACCCGAGACUCAGUGAAAUUGAACUCGCUGUGAAGAUGCAGUGUACCCGCGGCAAGACGGAAAGACCCCGUGAACCUUUACUAUAGCUUGACACUGAACAUUGAGCCUUGAUGUGUAGGAUAGGUGGGAGGCUUUGAAGUGUGGACGCCAGUCUGCAUGGAGCCGACCUUGAAAUACCACCCUUUAAUGUUUGAUGUUCUAACGUGGACCCGUGAUCCGGGUUGCGGACAGUGUCUGGUGGGUAGUUUGACUGGGGCGGUCUCCUCCUAAAGAGUAACGGAGGAGCACGAAGGUUGGCUAAUCCUGGUCGGACAUCAGGAGGUUAGUGCAAUGGCAUAAGCCAGCUUGACUGCGAGCGUGACGGCGCGAGCAGGUGCGAAAGCAGGUCAUAGUGAUCCGGUGGUUCUGAAUGGAAGGGCCAUCGCUCAACGGAUAAAAGGUACUCCGGGGAUAACAGGCUGAUACCGCCCAAGAGUUCAUAUCGACGGCGGUGUUUGGCACCUCGAUGUCGGCUCAUCACAUCCUGGGGCUGAAGUAGGUCCCAAGGGUAUGGCUGUUCGCCAUUUAAAGUGGUACGCGAGCUGGGUUUAGAACGUCGUGAGACAGUUCGGUCCCUAUCUGCCGUGGGCGCUGGAGAACUGAGGGGGGCUGCUCCUAGUACGAGAGGACCGGAGUGGACGCAUCACUGGUGUUCGGGUUGUCAUGCCAAUGGCACUGCCCGGUAGCUAAAUGCGGAAGAGAUAAGUGCUGAAAGCAUCUAAGCACGAAACUUGCCCCGAGAUGAGUUCUCCCUGACUCCUUGAGAGUCCUGAAGGAACGUUGAAGACGACGACGUUGAUAGGCCGGGUGUGUAAG